AGAAUUUGAUCUUGGUUCAGGAUGAACGCUGGCGGCGUGCCUAAUACAUGCAAGUCGAACGCAUUACUUCGGUAGUGAGUGGCGAACGGGUGAGUAACACGUAGGUAACUACCUCUAAGACGAGGAUAACGACUGGAAACGGUCGCUAAAACUGGAUAGGAUCAUUUGAGGCAUCUCGAAUGAUUUAAAGGGGCUUUCAAGCCACACUUAGAGAAAGGCCUGCGGCGCAUUAGCUAGUUGGAGGGGUAACGGCCCACCAAGGCUUCGAUCAGUAGCCGGUCUGAGAGGAUGAACGGCCACACUGGGACUGAGACACGGCCCAGACUCCUACGGGAGGCAGCAGUGGGGAAUCUUCCGCAAUGGACGAAAGUCUGACGGAGCAACGCCGCGUGAGUGAAAGAAGGUUUUCGGAUCGUAAAGCUCUUUCGCUAGGGACGAACGUGCUCUUUGUGAAUAAUGAGGAGUAAUGACGGUACCUAAGUAAGAAGCCACGGCUAACUACGUGCCAGCAGCUGC
rnacentral:rRNA from 1 species